AGGGUGUCACCUGCUUCAGCAAAUAAAUAUUGUGAGUUCCUCUCCAAGUGACAGAAAGGACUGGGCUCCAUUCUCCUUUCCUAAAAAUACUUUGUAAAAGGAUUCCACAGCUUAGCUGAAGAAUAAAAAAUGGGGAACAAACUACCAACAGAAGCCAACAUGGGCGACAGGCUGAGAUGUGACAGGUGUAACUCAGUACUGCCUGCAUGCAGAUCCUUCUCAGAUUUAUAUAAACGCACUAUUGAUAACAGACUUGUAUAUGUGUUCAAUGGAGGUGAAUACUACAGGGAGAUGGGUUAUUCUCAGUACUUCUGUAAUGACUGCUUUUAUAAGAACAUCUGGGAAAGAGAAGAAAAGAAGAGACAGCAGGAACAGCAACAAAGAAGAGAAACCCUGAGCCAAAGACUGCAGCAAUCACAACAACGUGCUGAACAGCAACAGGAGCAACAACAAUUGAGCAGAAAGUCAGUGGAAUUUGAGCGUAAGCAAUCUGUAUUAAAACAGCAGCUGGAUGAGUUUUCACCUGAGGAGCCAGAUGAAUUCAGCGAUGACCUCCUAGAAGUCCUCUCAUCCCAAUGUGACAUCCCAGUUACAACCCUCAGUCUCAGCCACCUGGCAGAUGGUCAGCUAGGACAGAUUAUGUCAGCCCUGGACAGCCUUCUGUUUGAGAAAUGGACAAAUGCUCGCCCACCACUCAGAACUUUACAGCACGCACAGGUAUUUAUCACACAGCUGUGUACCCUGUCUCUGGGGACAUCUGAGGGAGUUUCCCUGCAAAGUGUCUCCAAUCAUGUGCAGUCUCUGGUGCAGAACAUCAGCCAAUCAGCAGAUAAUAUUUUUGAGAAUUUCCUGCUCACUCAAGCCCUGUAUUUGAGCCUUGUGCAUUUUUUCACUGACCAUGAUAACUCAGGCACUGAUGCAGUCGACAUCGCCAAACGAUGGGCUGAGGGCGACCUUUCUGCUGAGACUUGCUUUGUUCUAAACUUCCUCUGCACUCUCACAGUGUCACUUCAGAAAGUAGUUGGAAUGGCCUCAGUUUUUGUUUUAAGGAUGGAAAUCCAGUGUUUAAGGGUUCUGUUUUACAUACUCACACAUCUCAAUGGCAAAGAAACCCACAAAGAAGUCACUGAAAUGCACCUCAGUCUUAUGCAAACAAAUGGAUGGAACCCUACAGAGGUAUUGACUCUCCUCAAAUUACUGUCAGAGAAAUAUACAGAGGAUGCUUCAAUAACUAAAAUCCUGACUUUACUGCAAGUGUAUGAUGUAUCUCCAGUGUGGAAAGAUAACUGCGAAAGAUCUCUUAUUGAAGCUAUUGACUUUUCUGGUCCUGAGAAUUUUUAUACAGCUUUCCAGGAGACCCUUGAAAACCAAGAUUUGGACAAUUAUGAAGCUUUAGCAGGAUUAAUAGAGUACUGGAAUUUGGAUGAAUCUGUGAUAAAGAGGGUACUGAACAUCACAAACCUGACUUCGAACACCCUUCAGCAUUCACAAAAUGACCCAACAGAUGGACAAGUUUUAAAACGAGACUACAAAAUUGAGAACAUUGGUGAUGACCAUAUCCAAGAAAUCCUGACUCAGCUGUGCAAAGCAGUUUUCCGCACAAAAGGCUGGUGGCCAUCCCGGAGUCAAAUGUUAAGCUGGUGUGCAAUAGUGUUUGCUGAGAAAAGUCAACCACCAAAGAUGGUUGGGUUUGAAGAAGAUGCAUGUGUUACAGCCAUGAUAGCAGCCAUGCAAAUCUGCAUGGGAAACAAACUGGAUAUUGUGCUGAGCUCUGGGGCUCUUUCAGAGCAGGAAACCAAGGAGUGGUCCGACUUCUACAAGCAUCUGGGAAUUUCACUCAACACAAACAGGAGGAAACCUAAUGAGCCAUAUGGUGAUAUUUAUGAAGCAGACAUUGUGUAUGGUGGCAUUGAAGACUUUAUCACUGAUUACUUUCAAUACAGCUUAGAGGUGAUGGAAGGAAGGCGCCCUCAGCAUAUUCGUGGAUUUAUCAUUGAAAAUGGAUGUCUCAGUGCUGGCCACAAUCUGACAUUUUCAAAGCUCAAGGAGAAUAAGACCCUGGGCUCUGUGGCAAAGGUAUUGAAAAGUCUCACGGAUAAACUUUCCAAUGAAGGAAAGGAACUGAGGAACAGUUUUAUUAUGGACAUAUUCAAUGUGCUCCAUACUGACCUAAAGGACAAUGUAGACAUGAAAGUUAUGAACCUCUCACAAACACUUACAGGAAAGAAAUUGCCAUCAACAGAUGCCUUUGUUCUUACCUUUCUUGAGGCACUCACGAAAGCUGUUGGCAAAGCAGAAAAACAAAAAAACAGCGAUUCUCCUAUAGUCAAAUGGUGUUUUGAGAGUUUACUUGCCAGUGCAAUGAAAUUACAAGCUUCAAGUACAGCAAAAGAAAUUCUGCAGAUUGUCUCAAAUCUUGUAGCUCAGGGCCUUUGGCCACCAAAAGAGACCUUAAAACUCCUUGGAUCAUUAACUGUCCACCAUCAGGAUGAAAAAUUUAUUUCAAUCAUGAAGAUUUUACAUUUGAUGACAACAUAUAAAUUAUCUUCAGAGUGGAAAGAUGAUAACAACCAAUCUCUCCUUCAGCUCUUAGAUUCAUCAGGAACCCAGGAUCUAAUUACGCACUUGCAAAAUAGCUUCAAAGCAGAGACAAAAGGUCUUGAGGCCCUCUUUUAUGAAAUAAGGGCCAUGAAAGACCUCGAUGAAGAAAUACUGGAGAAAUCAUAUACCAUAGUAAAGCAUGUACAGGACCUGAUUAAAACUGGUGACAUUAAAAACCAUGCAAAUGCAAACCAAGCUCGGAGUCUGAGCCAUAGCAUGAAAACUGAAGACCUUCAAGAGAUCCUGGCUGUCUUAUGCAAUGCUGUAUACCAUCGUAUAGCUGGGGGCUCUUGGUGGCCAAGAGGCACUCAAAUGGCAAGCUGGUGCUUUUUAGCCUUGGCUAACAAUGGAAAGCUUCUACAGAUGGGCACCGGAGAAGGGAAGUCUGUUGUUGUAGCUAUGUUUGCAGCACUGCGUGCCCUCAGGGGUGAAAAGGUAGAUGUGCUGUCCAGCUCUCCAGUGUUAUGUCAAAGAGAUGCAGAAGAAUGCGCAGGCUUUUUCAACUACUUUGGCCUCACAGUGGACACAAACACCAAUAAAACCAAAGAUACAGAUCGAAAGCAAUGCUACCAAAAGGAUAUAAUCUAUGGAACUGUGGAGACCUUCGCAGCAGAUCACCUUCGUCAGACAUUUGAGAUGAAGGAUGUGAGACCCGAUCGCGGCUAUAAGUGCAUCAUCAUUGAUGAAGUGGACUUGCUGCUUCUGGACCAGGGAAUACAGGUGACCUACCUGUCCAGUUCCAUGGUCUCCAUGCAGCACCUCAACAUUAUUCUGACCAUGAUCUGGGGCCAUGUAUGCCAGUAUAGUCUCCUGUCAGCAGGAUACGAGACACUCAUAGGUGGUCCCCCCGCUUCAUUCUACAAGGCCAUAUUUGACUCAGUGGACACAGAAGGAACUGAAAUCGAUGACCCAAUGGACAUUUUGCAGAUUGCUGAAGAAUGCGGCAUUGUCCCAAAAGGAUUUACAGAGAAAAUCUACAAAUGUGAAAAAGAUGCAAUUCUUGCUAAAUUGAAAAAUGUGAGUGUGGAAGCUCAGAUAAAUUUCUUCAGCGAAAUUGAGGAAUACAUCCCCUAUGGGUUUACAGUCUACGUUCUCGAUGACAAUGGAUCGCUUAGCCUUAGGAAGCCUAGCCAGAAAAAAAAGGUCAUUCAAAACCUUAAAUUUCUUGUUUUACGUGAUGGAUUGUGUUGUCCCCUCUACGAUUCAGAAGAUGUUGUCGUCAAUCCCAUUGCAGAACUAAUCUGUGGUCAACUGAACUACACUCCAUGCGAAAACAAUCAAAAGAAAAUCAAUAUCCCUGGAUUUUUAAAAGGUCUGGUAGAACAUAAAGCAGCAAUAUGGGUUCAGAAUGCCUUUCUAGCCAUGAGGCUGAAAAAAGGGCAGGAAUAUGUUGUGGAAGAUGACAAUAUCUAUCCGGUGGAUUUCAAAGCUACAGGUACUAUAGAACUGAAUAAGAAAUGGGGUGAAGGUCUGCAACAAUUUGUUGAGAUUAAACACCAAAUUAAAAUAAGCACAAUGACCGCAGUGACAAACUAUGUUUCCAAUGUUUCAUUUUUUGAAAAGUACAAUGGAAAAAUAUAUGGAUUGACAGGCACACUUGGGAGCAGAUCAGACAUGAUGUUUUUGAAUAACCAAUAUCCAAGUCUCUCUGCCUGCAAAAUGCCAUCAUUCAGCAGGGAAAAGUUAUUUGAGGUUAAAGGUAUUCUCAAGUCCUCAACUAAAGAAUGGAAAUCAGAAAUGAAACGGGUGCUUUUGGAUGAAAUUACCUCAAAUCCCCAAAGAGGAGGAAGAGCAGCCCUUGUGAUCUGUGAAACUAUCAAUAAAGUUAGGGAUCUAUAUGAUGAGCUAAAAGACAGCAUCCCAGGUGAAAUCAUAGAAUACUCACGCAGUGACUCGGACAGUUUGAGCAAAAUACAGAAAAAACUGAAUCCAGGUGAUGUAGUUAUUGCCACAAACCUUGCAGGGCGUGGGACAAAUAUAAAAGUCACCAAAGACGUGAACAAAAAUGGAGGAUUAUUUGUGAUCCUUUCCUUCCUUUCUGAGAAUGAAAGAGUCGAACGCCAGGCCUUUGGGCGAACCGCACGCGAAGGUAACCCUGGAUCGGCUCAGAUAAUCAUGUCUACUGAUCAUCUACAAGAGUGUUACAGGACAGUAUAUUCUAUGGAUGAAGCUAAGAACAUUCGGGAUAGUCUUGCAGUAGAGAAGGUUCAGGACAUGCAGAAGGACAUUGAUGAAAUGAAACUGCGAGAAGACUUGUUUUCUGAAUACUGCGAAACACUUAAAGUGAUUUAUAACAGCACAGAAGAAGAUGAACAGAAGGCUAUUGUCUCCAUCAUGAAUGAGUUUUGGGGGAUUUGGCUACAAACACACUCCAAAGAAAUUGACCAAUUGAAGAGACAUGAACUGCAGAAGAGCUUGAGAGCUGAUUUGGCAUUUGCAAAAAAGCAGACUGAAAGUCAGAAUUCCCCCUCUUCUAGUAUUUAUCACUAUGUCAAUUUUGGGAAUAUUGCACUGAAGGACAAAAAAUGGGAUGUCAGUGCCAGACUCUUUGAAAAAGCCACAGCACUAGAUGAGAGUUGGGCAGCUAUAGCAUUUUACAACCACUCAUACUGCAUUAUAAAGAAUAAAUCAGGUGAUUAUCUCACUCAAGCCACAGAUGAUCUGAAGAAGGCGCAAGAUUCUCUGAAGUACUUUAGUGAGGAAUGCAUGACAGGUCUGAACUUUAUAAAAAUGUCAGCUCCCAAAUCUGCAAAGGGUAUUACCAACAGCCUUGAAAAACAGUACUCCACCAAGUGCAACAUGCUCAGUUAUCUUGAUAAAAACAUGAGUGAUGCCAUCAGUAAAUUGGAAGAAAUUAAAGGAAAGGGGAGAGAUGCUCUUGCAAAAAAAGCUCCAGUUUUUACUCUGGUGUCAGAUACUGAAGAAGAGCUUCAAAUGGAAACCUUCAAUCUCUACGAUCGAGGUCUGAAAUACAUCUUUUCUGUGGAAGAGGAGCCUCGUUUCCCAUGGGAAGCUCUGGUGGUGUUCUUUCUUGGACUUUUACAGAUUGUAGCAGGGGCACUGCUCACUGCAUUUACAUUUGGGACACUAGCCCAAGUGGGUAUGGGGCUCAUCACUGAAGGAAUCUCAGACUGUAUUACUGGCAUAGAGUCCAUGAUAACAGGAGAAUUCAGCUGGCAAUCAUGGGCAAUAGAUAAAGCCAUUUCUAUUGCCGUCUCUCUCAUUGGGUUUGGAAUCGGAAAGCUGGUUUCAAAGGGCUUCAAAGCUGCUAAAACAUUAAUGAAGGGAUUUGGCAAACAGCUGAAGGCAAUGCCGAAGUUCUUUGCCAGUCAGGCUAAAGAGGGGUUUAGUGUUACUAUGAAGACCAAUAUGAAGAAUGCAGUAAAAGUCACUGCUAAAAAAAUAGUAGAGGAAACAGUCGCCUAUGGAAUUGAGAAGGCAGAGAAUGAAAUAAUUAAUAAAAUACUAGAGGAAAUAGAAAAGGCAGUGAAAAAGGGAAUCAGUGAUCAAGUGAAGUCCAAUAUGACAAAGGAUCCCCUGCAUGCAAUAACAGAUUCAGUUAUACUCUCUCACAUUGACAAUAAACAGGAAUUUAAUGACCUUUUCACAGACGACAAAAUUAAGAGUCAAUUACUGGAAAUUUUCACAGAGCUAAGCACCACUGCAUUAGCACCAUAUUCUGAAGACCUUGGUUGGCAGAACCAGCUUAGCUCAUCCAUCUACAAUGUGCUUGAUGCUGUAAAGGAAGAUGCUGGAGGAAAAACAAAAGCUAUUCUGACUGCUAUCCAAGUGGGCCAUAUGGGAAUACUGGCAGCAGAUGCCAUAACUGCAGUGGUCACCCUCGCAGACAAAUACUUCACAGGUCUGCGUGAAGGGCUGGAAGAGUUUCAUAAGGAAAAAGGUUUACAACAGAAAGUGAAGGCAAGUGAUCUAUCCGAUUCAGAGAAAAACAUGCUGAAUGACUUCAGGCAGGAAAUAAUUGACAGCAUUGCCACUUUACUGGCAAAAGCUUUAGUUGAGUUGUUUCACCAGAAGUUCUCCAGUCAUAUUGUUUCUAUUGCUCAAGGCAAAGUAAAUGAUCUCAUUGCAAGUCGUGUGAGCUCAGGCUUAAAAACAGAGGACACUGAGAAACUAAUUGCAGCUUCACAGGAGGGUACAUAUGGUAAACACAUGCCAGGAGAUGUGCAGGCAGAACAAGCAAAGUUGCAUGCAGAAAAGGUCAAGAAUUCAGAGGCAACUGGUAGUACUGCUGAUAUCAAUGUCCUUGCAGACGUAACUGGCACUAAAGUUGUGAUCUUAACAGAGGGAAAAGAUGGAAAGCUGACCAAAAUGCAUGAGCUGGACCCCAAAAAUGAAGAUGCCAGUCAAACUGUGACACUUGUCUAUAGACCCAAAAGUGACAAACACCCAGAUGGACAUUAUGAUGUGGUCAUCAAUGGCAAGACAGUGAGUGUAGAGAAAGGCGACCUGUAUCACGCUAUGGCACAAGGCAUGAAUCCAGGCGCCAGUAAGAAAGACAUUGCUGAUUCAGCAGAUAACCUGAGAUCUAAAGAAGCUGAGGCCCUUGAGGAAGAACCAAAACUUUGGGAGGUUUUUAUCCAACGUGAAGAAUGGAUUGAAGAACUCAUAAUAGGGUCCUGGUUCAUAUCAGAGGGAGUUUCAGCAUUAGACGACAAAGUAACUAUAAAAGAAAAAAUUAUGAAUAUGGUUAAGCAAACAAGUGAGACUGCGGUAAUCAACAAAGAGUGGCUAUCUCCUGGAAAAGACGCAAUACCAACUGGAAUAAUCAUUAAUGGAGAUAGUCAACCACCAAAGAACACUGUACUGGUAGCAGAAAAUUUUUACUCAGGCAGCAAAUUAACUAAUGCAAUGUUUGAGGUCGUAACAGACUCAUCGAAACAUGCAAAAUAUCAACUUCCAGUUGUUUACGCGCCAUAUGAGCGAUAUAAUAAGUUCCCAACUGCAGGAUCUCCAGAGCUCAAGAAUUUAUUGGCUCAAACCAUGAGCAGGGAUGAUGUUGAGGGCACCUUCAAACUGACGAUCCUAAGUGCAAUGCCAACAUUUAUGCUGCGAAACAAACAUUUUCAGGAUGAAGACAUUAGUCUGACCAGAUUGGAAACUUUUAAAUACACUUUUCCAAAGCAUGCAACAAAAUUUGUAAACACAUGGUUCAAACUCCUGGAAAAGAAAACAGAUAUCAUAAAACCAGACACUCAACAAAGCCUUCAACACUGGAUCAACACUAAAAGAUACCUUGAUCCAAAUGAUCCCCACCGGAAACAAGUCACCAGUUCCAUGUAAAAAAAGUGGGAGUGGCCACACAUGAGCGGGGGACUGACCAGAGGGUGUUAAAGGCCAGAUGAACUGCAGAUGAGUGGCUCUUCGGGAAGAGGCUCCUCCUCCCUUCUCUCCUUUUGUUGACCUGCCUACAUCUGAUCAGCUGUGAUAUGUAGGCCUAGUGUUUAAAAAUGGGUAACAUACAGCUGGUGCCUCUUGUUUAUAUGACCAGUUGUGACGGUAAUUAGGCGAUAAUGAGCUAUGAUUUAACAACUACAAUUUAGCUUACCUGAAGAAUCCCCCAUAAAGACAUGAUGCACUCAUUGGUGCUUAAUGGAAUGAGAGCUGCUCUGAGGGCAGAACCAUUUUGAUUGGGUUUGAUGUAAGGAAUAGGAUGCGCAGUCCAUGAAUGCUGUAUUCUUGUGUGCAUAAUGCUGACUAACUGCUAACCUGUACAAGCCAUUGCAGGUUAAAUGUAUUUUGAAUUCCUGAGAGUAGUUAAGAACAUUAAUUAGUAACAGGUCAACAUUAUCAAAAUGGCUAGCUGAAAUUAUAAUACCUCUUGUGUGUGUGCUCUGUUAGCGAAUGAUAAAUUACUAGUAAACUAGAACUGCCUGGCCAGCUAACUUCAGCAGAAUUGUUCAUGAUCUACUCUCAGAUAUAAACUGUAUACUAUUAGGCUCAUGUAUAUGGGAAUUCAUGAUAUUAACACUGCUGAGUUUCACAGAAUCUAACAUUAACACUUGUUGGCUAGGCUUAUAUUUUAGGUUAAGCUGUUUCCCAUUUUUGCUACUCUUGGCUGGUUUACUAAUUUGGUGGUCAUGAAGGUAACAUUAGCUAGCUUGCUAAAACAUAAUUUUAAGACCACAGUCUUUCAAGCUCAAAUAGCUUACCUACCAUUUUGAUAAAGGUUGCGUGCUUGAUAAUGGCCAAGGGUCUAUAAUUCACUUUUUCUCACUAAUACUAAUUAGCAGAUAACACUAAACAUUCAAGCUAUUUGGUAACUAGAAUUAUAUUUUAGGCCUGAUAAUUAGGCAUUUAGCUAGAUAUAUAUGGCUUAAUACUGUACUCUGCACCAAAUUAUAUGUGAUUCCAUAAUGCUAAUCAAACAUAUUCUAAUCAUUUAUCAGACAGUUCCCUGCUUGCAUACAUGCUAGUUAACACAUCAUUGUCUUCAUGAGAACAAGUUUUCAUGAGCCUUGCAUCUUGACCGUGUGACCAAUCAAAAGCAACCAAGACCAAUGAACUUUGCACUGCCCUCAGAACAUCUUUUAUUCCAUGAAACACCAACUCCAAGCUGUGCCAGCGACCCCUGACUCCGCCCCCAUGUGUGAGCUCUCAAUUGGCAGAGCCCACUUCUGAAUUUCUCUGAUCUAUGUGGGAGUGUGCACACUGUUUACAAUGAUCAGUACAGAAUGUAGCACAAACCCUAAACUAAUCUGAAGGUGAAGUAGAUUAAAUCACUGCAACAUCCAUUUUAAAUUGCAUUUACUUCUUAUGGGUGUUUUACCAGCACAGCUCAAUGCAGUAUUCUACAGCAGAUAAAAUACAGGAGCUUUCAAAUCGGCAUGGAUCACAGGACAAAGAGCAGUUCAUUUCAAAUAGAGAUAAAUACAAUUAACAGUUGGUAGAAUACACUUUCUUUUUUCUUUCUGAUAAAUUUAUAUUACAAAUUAUAUUUGUAUUAAAGGUCUAAGGUUCAUAGAGUAGUAAAAAAAGUAGUUGCUUGUAACUUGCAAGAUGGCCUCUCCCAGAGAAGAAUCAUAUAAAAGCAGGCAUAGAGUCUUAUACUAGAAUUCAAUACUGGUGUAACGGAUGUAUGUUUCUUUCUUUGAAUUCCUGUUUUUAUUAGCAUAAUAAACUUCAUCCAAAGUU